UACGUAGGGGGCAAGCGUUGUCCGGAAUCAUUGGGCGUAAAGCGCGUGUAGGCGGCCCGAUAAGUCCGCUGUGAAAGUCCAGGGCUCAACCCUGGGAUGCCGGUGGAUACUGUCGGGCUCGAGUCCGGAAGAGGAGUGUGGAAUUCCUGGUGUAGCGGUGAAAUGCGCAGAUAUCAGGAGGAACACCAAUGGCGAAGGCAGCACUCUGGGACGUGACUGACGCUGAGGAGCGAAAGCGUGGGGAGCGAACAGG
rnacentral:rRNA from 1 species